AUUGAACGCUGGCGGAAUGCUUUACACAUGCAAGUCGAGCGGCAGCGCGGGGGCAACCCUGGCGGCGAGCGGCGAACGGGUGAGUAAUACAUCGGAACGUGUCCUUGAGUGGGGGAUAGCUCGGCGAAAGCCGGAUUAAUACCGCAUAAGCUCUGAGGAGGAAAGCGGGGGACCGUGGUAACGGGCCUCGCGCUGUUGGAGCGGCCGAUGUCGGAUUAGCUAGUUGGUGGGGUAAAGGCCCACCAAGGCGACGAUCCGUAGCUGGUCUGAGAGGAUGAUCAGCCACACUGGAACUGAGACACGGUCCAGACUCCUACGGGAGGCAGCAGUGGGGAAUCUUGGACAAUGGGGGCAACCCUGAUCCAGCCAUCCCGCGUGAGUGAAGAAGGCCUGG
rnacentral:rRNA from 1 species